CGCUAAGGAGUUAAUACGGCUCAGGUGUUGUAAUUGAAGAUUGCCACCAGCUGGUUGGGGUGGGCUUGGCAGAGCACAGUCAGAGAGGAGUUGGCUGUCAGGGUGAGCAGGUGAAGAGAAAGGAUGAGCAGUCAACUCAUCGCCACCUGGUGAUUAGAUGGCGGGGGAAGAGUGCCAAACAGACCUAGCAGACCCAAGGUCUACUCCCGAAAUUAUAUCCGGCAGCAACCAAAAUCAGUGUGCAGAGCUCAUGCUAUCACCACUGUACAAGCAGCAAGUAGAAGGAGUGAUGUCGACCCGUGGCUUUUCUUCAAGUUCAAAAAGACGUGGAAGCAGUAUUUUUGUCGGAUGAAAGCGCAAUGCAGUCCAGAUAACGCUGCAGCGCACAUCAGAGAUGAUUGUAGACGCCAUUUGGCCAUUGUGACUCCUCGCCCAAGUCCUUUGAAAUGCUGUCACCUUUUCAUGAACACGCGCAAUC